rnacentral:rRNA from 1 species
AGUGAACGCUGGCGGUAGGCCUAACACAUGCAAGUCGAACGGCAGCACAGUAAGAGCUUGCUCUUACGGGUGGCGAGUGGCGGACGGGUGAGGAAUACAUCGGAAUCUACUUUUUCGUGGGGGAUAACGUAGGGAAACUUACGCUAAUACCGCAUACGACCUACGGGUGAAAGCAGGGGAUCUUCGGACCUUGCGCGAUUGAAUGAGCCGAUGUCGGAUUAGCUAGUUGGCGGGGUAAAGGCCCACCAAGGCGACGAUCCGUAGCUGGUCUGAGAGGAUGAUCAGCCACACUGGAACUGAGACACGGUCCAGACUCCUACGGGAGGCAGCAGUGGGGAAUAUUGGACAAUGGGCGCAAGCCUGAUCCAGCCAUACCGCGUGGGUGAAGAAGGCCUUCGGGUUGUAAAGCCCUUUUGUUGGGAAAGAAAAGCAGCAGGUUAAGACCCCGCUGUUCUGACGGGACCCAAAGAGUAAGCACCGGCUAACUUCGU